AGUGAACGCUGGCGGUAGGCCUAACACAUGCAAGUCGAACGGCAGCACAGUAAGAGCUUGCUCUUACGGGUGGCGAGUGGCGGACGGGUGAGGAAUACAUCGGAAUCUACUUUUUCGUGGGGGAUAACGUAGGGAAACUUACGCUAAUACCGCAUACGACCUACGGGUGAAAGCAGGGGAUCUUCGGACCUUGCGCGAUUGAAUGAGCCGAUGUCGGAUUAGCUAGUUGGCGGGGUAAAGGCCCACCAAGGCGACGAUCCGUAGCUGGUCUGAGAGGAUGAUCAGCCACACUGGAACUGGGACACGGUCCAGACUCCUACGGGAGGCAGCAGUGGGGAAUAUUGGCCAAUGGGCGCAAGCCUGAUCCAGCCAUACCGCGUGGGUGAAGAAGGCCUUCGGGUUGUAAAGCCCUUUUGUUGGGAAAGACAAGCAGCAGGUUUAUACCCCGCUGUUCUGACGGUACCCAAAGAAUAAGCACCGGCUAACUUCGUG
rnacentral:rRNA from 1 species